UUUAUGGAGAGUUUGAUCCUGGCUCAGGAUGAACGCUGGCGGCGUGCCUAAUACAUGCAAGUCGAGCGAACGGACGAGAAGCUUGCUUCUCUGAUGUUAGCGGCGGACGGGUGAGUAACACGUGGAUAACCUACCUAUAAGACUGGGAUAACUUCGGGAAACCGGAGCUAAUACCGGAUAAUAUUUUGAACCGCAUGGUUCAAAAGUGAAAGACGGUCUUGCUGUCACUUAUAGAUGGAUCCGCGCUGCAUUAGCUAGUUGGUAAGGUAACGGCUUACCAAGGCAACGAUGCAUAGCCGACCUGAGAGGGUGAUCGGCCACACUGGAACUGAGACACGGUCCAGACUCCUACGGGAGGCAGCAGUAGGGAAUCUUCCGCAAUGGGCGAAAGCCUGACGGAGCAACGCCGCGUGAGUGAUGAAGGUCUUCGGAUCGUAAAACUCUGUUAUUAGGGAAGAACAUAUGUGUAAGUAACUGUGCACAUCUUGACGGUACCUAAUCAGAAAGCCACGGCUAACUACGUGCCAGCAGCCGCGGUAAUACGUAGGUGGCAAGCGUUAUCCGGAAUUAUUGGGCGUAAAGCGCGCGUAGGCGGUUUUUUAAG
rnacentral:rRNA from 1 species